rnacentral:lncRNA from 1 species
UCAAGUCUAGCAAACUUGGUACUCUUCUUUAGUUGGUUGAUAAUGUUGAGUUCUUGAUGGUUGCUACUCAGUUGCUGUGUAAGCACUUGUUCUAAAGAACUGAGUAGCUAAGCAAGCUUUACAAUAUCUCAGAUCGUAGAGUUGAGCUUGAGAGAGAUGUUCACGUUGUUUGUUCAAUGCUUGUUUGGUUCUCUCUCAUCUGUCUGAUCUGUAUAUAUGUGAUCUUGAAAACUAUCCGUCGGAUCCAUCCGUUGAGGCAUUGAAUGCGUCUGAACUUUUUGUACUGUGAUAGAGACAUUUCUGCACAUCUUCUGAAUUCUGCAUAGACUGCUUUCUCACCUACCACCUGAAAAGGUGUUUUGUCCCUCUUAUCAAUGGUACUAUCCUUAGCUUCUUCAAUACGCUUCUUUGUUGCAUACUAAGGAUAUUUCAUAUACUCUGGGACUGAUGAGUAUUGCAACGUCUAGAAUCCAUUCCUCAUAUGUUGGAAUCUAUCUUCACUCAGAUCAUGAGGCUCGACGUUCUCUGACACAAGACAGAUGCUCUACGAUUCAUGUCAUGAUACUCUACGAUUCAGAUCGUAGUGCCUUAUCAUCUUGGUGCCUUGUCUGAUGCUAUCAUCCGAGAGCACUACGAUUCUUCUUAAACCUCUGUACACUACGAUCUUCACUUGCUCGUGUUGUUGACUCUACGUUUUUGAGAGCACACUACGAUCGUUGACUUGGCUCGGCAAACGUUGGGACUACUCUACGAUUUCCGAAGAGUCCCUUCAAGGCAGGCACAUUACGAUCUUCAGGCUCUACGUGUCUGCCUUGACUUCUGCAAUGUUGAUCAAAUGAUACACUACGAUUUCUUUGGAGCCUAUCUAUUACAUCUCAAGAUCAACCUAACAGCUUUGAUCUUUCUAUCUAUACAUUCUAUUACAGAAUGACACACGUUAAGAUCUUAGAUCAACCUAACAAAUUUGAUCUACCACUAAGUCCUUGUACAUAUCUUAUUUGGAAGGACUUUAUAAAUAAUCAUGAGCAUAUACAUUUAAACAUCAAAUCAUAAUAUGUAUUCUCCCAACAAGAUGUUGCCGAUACCUGUAAUGGAUCCUCCACUUGAACUUCUCUGCCUGUUCUGCUGCAGUCCCUACUGAGGUUCCCGCAAAGCCUGCCAACCUGGUGAACCUCGUCAUAAAAUUCGUGAUGGACUUGUCAUCUUUCUGUGGAAUGGACAGAUAGUCUCUAGCAUAGGCCUCUUUAUCAGCAGCUGGGAAGUACUGCUGAUAAAAGACCUCACAAAACUCUGCCCAACUAAGUGCCUCAAUAUAACCAUCACCCUUUGUUACUUUCAUCGCUUUCCACCACCUCUGUGCAUCCCCUUCUAGCUUGUAAGCUGCAAGCAACACUUUUUGAUUAUCUGAGCACCCCAACACAUCAAAGAUCUUCUCUAGGUGAGCAAUCCAAUUCUCUGCAUCAAUUGGAGUCGGAGCUGAACUGAAGGCAUGUGGUUUCUACUUCUAAAACCUCUCCAACCAUACAUACAUCGGAACCACCUGCUAAUCAUGACCAUCUGUAUUCCCUUCCUCAACAUUUGCUUGCUGACCAUUAUUUCCCGGAUUCCCU